rnacentral:sRNA from 1 species
GAUUCUGCCCUACGGGGAAGGAUGAGAAGCUUCGACUAAGGUUCGACUCGAGCGCCAGCGAGAGAACGUUGCCACAGGCAACGGCCCGAAGGGCGAGGAGCGAUAGCGACGAGUUAUCCUUCCCCCAGCACCA